rnacentral:rRNA from 1 species
CCUCUGGGUCCAACCUCCCACCCGUGUUUAUCGUACCUUGUUGCUUCGGCGGGCCCGCCUCACGGCCGCCGGGGGGCAUCCGCCCCCGGGCCCGCGCCCGCCGAAGACACACAAACGAACUCUUGUCUGAAGAUUGCAGUCUGAGUACUUGACUAAAUCAGUUAAAACUUUCAACAACGGAUCUCUUGGUUCCGGCAUCGAUGAAGAACGCAGCGAAAUGCGAUAAGUAAUGUGAAUUGCAGAAUUCAGUGAAUCAUCGAGUCUUUGAACGCACAUUGCGCCCCCUGGUAUUCCGGGGGGCAUGCCUGUCCGAGCGUCAUUGCUGCCCUCAAGCACGGCUUGUGUGUUGGGCUCUCGCCCCCCGCUUCCGGGGGGCGGGCCCGAAAGGCAGCGGCGGCACCGCGUCCGGUCCUCGAGCGUAUGGGGCUUCGUCACCCGCUCUGUAGGCCCGGCCGGCGCCCGCCGGCGAACACCAUCAAUCUUAACCAGGUUGACCUCGGAUCAGGUAGGGAUACCCGCUGAACUUAAGCAUAUCAAUAAGGGACAAGAACCGAGUGAGGGCCUCUGGGUCAACCUCCCACCCGUGUUUAUCGUACCUUGUUGCUUCGGCGGGCCCGCCUCACGGCCGCC